GUCGAGCGGAAUGACGAGAGCUUGCUCUCUGAUUUUAGCGGCGGACGGGUGAGUAACACGUGGGCAACCUGCCCUACAGAUGGGGAUAACUCCGGGAAACCGGGGCUAAUACCGAAUAAUCAGUUUGUCCGCAUGGACAAACUCUGAAAGACGGUUUCGGCUGUCACUGUAGGAUGGGCCCGCGGCGCAUUAGCUAGUUGGUGGGGUAAUGGCCUACCAAGGCAACGAUGCGUAGCCGACCUGAGAGGGUGAUCGGCCACACUGGGACUGAGACACGGCCCAGACUCCUACGGGAGGCAGCAGUAGGGAAUCUUCCACAAUGGACGAAAGUUUGAUGGAGCAAUGCCGCGUGAGCGAAGAAGGUUUUCGGAUCGUAAAGCUCUGUUGUAAGGGAAGAACACGUACGGGAGUAACUGCCCGCGCCAUGACGGUACCUUAUUAGAAAGCCACGGCUAACUACGUGCCAGCAGCCGCGGUAAUACGUAGGUGGCAAGCGUUGUCCGGAAUUAUUGGGCGUAAAGCGCGCGCAGGCGGUUCUUUAAGUCUGAUGUGAAAGCCCACGGCUCAACCGUGGAGGGUCAUUGGAAACUGGAGAACUUGAGUACAGAAGAGGAAAGCGGAAUUCCACGUGUAGCGGUGAAAUGCGUAGAGAUGUGGAGGAACACCAGUGGCGAA
rnacentral:rRNA from 1 species